GCCUAAAAUUUCACUACAGCAUUACAUUUACAUGGGGAUUCAAUCAGGGGCCUUUGUGUUGUGUUGAAAUGGCAAUCCACGUCAAGGAAUUGAAACAAAACGGGGCCCCAAAAACCCAGUGCCAUGUCAAACUACCCCUGAAGCCUGAAGGACUGUAACAGUUGCUAAUUGGCUCUAAGCAUAGGGACUUGCCACGCUGCUUCUGUUUCUAUUUAGUUUGCCUUAGAAGUUUAUCGCUGGAUAUUAAAAACGACAAAAUGGAUGAUAGUGCUUUAACGGAUGGUUUUUGCAAGGGUGGGCAUUCUUUACAAGCGAGGGAAGGUUUGGAGAUGAUAAUAAGCAAAUGCCAGUGGCCAAACACGAUAAAUUAUAGUACUUAAAUUCAUGAACUCUGUAAAGAAGGAAAGCUUAGGGAAGCUCUGAGAUUCUUAACAGGAUGAAGCUCCAGGGAUUGAAACCAGAUGCAGGGGUGGUAUGCAAAAAUUAUUAAUGGCUUAUGUGAGAAGUUCCAAGAAGCUGCAAACUUCCUUGAUGAGAUGGUCCUUUGUGAACUCUCAACAAAACGAUUAACAUGGAGCCUUCAUGUUAGGAUUUAUAGUAUGGUGUUGCAAGGCCUUUGUACCAAUGGUGAUCCAAACUGGGCUUUUCAGUUGUACAUUAGUAUGCUGACUAGGGUUAUCUCAAUUAAUACUGGCACUUUUGAUUCUCUGGUGGAGUGUUUCUGUAAGAGAGGAGACAUACACAAGGCUGUUCACAUUGUUGAUGAGAUGGCGAUUCAUGGAUGUGUUCCAGCUGAGGGGACAUGGAAUGCAGUGGUUGGUGCGAUUUUGGGAUUGAAGGAAAGUGUGGGAACUCUUCUGAGUUGUUGCAAGUUGAGCUGAUAAGCAAAUUUCUUAUGCCUGAAAGAUAGAUCUGAAAUUGAUUUUUAUGAGUUAGUAAGUGAUCUUGAUCUAUGGAUUAUCUAUUCUUUAUAAUCCUAAAAUUCUUUGAAGUUUAUUACUUCUUUUCUAAAAGCAUGCAUUUACUGGCUAAGGAUAUUGUGAUUUGCUUCUUGUAAGACAUGCACAGCUUUGAAGUGUGUUUUUAAUUCUUAAGACAGUCACGCAUACAAACACCAGCACCCACACUGAUGGACUUAGUGAAGGAUAUGUCACUGAUAAGCAUCUAAUCAUCUUAAUGUCAAUAAACAUGAAGUAUUUUGCAAUCUUUAUUUUUCUACUAAUUCUAGUAGCAGGUAAAGCUUUCAUUCUUGUUAGUGUGUGAAUGAACUGGGGAGAAAAACGUUCUGCAGCUGUCAAAGAAAAUGAAGCAUCCCUAGGAAUGUUGGCAACUUAAUGAAGAACAUUCAUUCGAUGGUUUUGCCAUUUUGAUUCACUACAUUUGAUCAUCUAUAUAGAGAUAAUCAAAUAGAGUUUCUGAUUCUCAAACUAAUGUGACAAGUUGAUAAUUGUUGGACUUGGAUUUCCAUGUCCUUGGAUAAUUGGCAAAAUAGAUAUUGAGGGGUUGGGGGCUGAAUUUUUUCAAUUUGGAUUUGGAUUUGGAUUUA